rnacentral:rRNA from 1 species
CACGUAGGGCGCAAGCGUUGUCCGGAAUUAUUGGGCGUAAAGAGCUCGUAGGCGGUCUGUUGCGUCCGCUGUGAAAACUCGGGGCUUAACCCCGAGCCUGCAGUGGAUACGGGCAGACUAGAGGUAGGUAGGGGAGAAUGGAAUUCCCGGUGUAGCGGUGAAAUGCGCAGAUAUCGGGAGGAACACCGGUGGCGAAAGCGCGUGACUGGACCAUAACUGACGCUGAGGAACGAAAGCCAGGGUAGCGAAAGGG